rnacentral:rRNA from 1 species
UACGUAGGGGGCUAGCGUUGUCCGGAAUCAUUGGGCGUAAAGCGCGUGUAGGCGGCCCGGUAAGUCCGCUGUGAAAGUCCAGGGCUCAACCCUGGGAUGCCGGUGGAUACUGUCGGGCUCGAGUCCGGAAGAGGCGAGUGGAAUUCCUGGUGUAGCGGUGAAAUGCGCAGAUAUCAGGAGGAGCACCAAUGGCGAAGGCAGCUCGCUGGGACGUGACUGACGCUGAGACGCGAAAGCGUGGGGAGCAAACAGG